GGUCGAUUAGCUUAGUUGGUAGAGCGUGGUACUAAUAAUGCCAAGGUCAUGGGUUCGAGCCCCAUAUGGACCA
rnacentral:tRNA from 5 species